CGUAAUUAAUGGACAGCCCCCAGGGAUUGUUAAAGAAAUUCUUUCAGGGAAUCUUUUGGAAACUCCUUGUAGAUUUCUUUAAAAAAAAAUCAUCCAGGAAAUCCUAAAGAAAUUUAGUCAGAUAUUAUUUCUCGAAAUCUUCUAGGAGUUCCUUUAGAUUUGAGAAUGUCCUUUAGGAAUUUCUGCAAGAAUUGCUUAAGAAAGUCUUGCAUGGAUAGCUUCCAAAAAUGUUGCAAGGAUUCAUUUAGAAAAUACUUCAACAAUUUCUUUUCAAAAAUCUUGCAUAGAUUGUUCCAGAAAUUCAUCUACAAAUUUCUUCAGAGUUUUUUUUAUAGAGAUUCCUCCACACAUUUUUCAAAGCAUUUAUCUAGAAAAUCUUCCACACAUUUUUCAAAGCAUUUAUCUUGAAAUUUUUCCAAAAUAUUCCAUGAUUUUUUUUUAGAAAAUGAUUCACGGAUACAUUGAGACAGAGACAUUCAGAACUGCUUCAAACAUUUCUCAAAAGCUUUCUAAAGAAUUUUCUUCAAAGGUUUGCUUUAGAAAUUGUACAAGAGAAAUUCCCAAGAUUUCUUCACAUUCCUUUAGACGUUUCUCCUAAAAAAAAAUGUUCCAAAGACUUCUUAAGAAAGUCUUAGAAAACCCUCCAAGGAUUCUUUUAGAAAUUGUUCUACAGAUUCUUUAAGAGAUUCUUACAAGGAUUCUUAUGAAAAGGCUGGAAGACAUCCUUGCAGAGAUUCCUGCAGAAAUUCCACCGGGUAUUCCUCUGUGUAUUUUCUGGGAAAUUUCUCCAAGAUUUCCUCCAGAAAUUAAUUGAAAAAAAAUAUUUAGGAUUUUUAGCAUGGGAUUUCUCUAGAAUUUAAAAAAAAAUCGAAUUUCUAUCUUACUCCUAGGUGGAUUGAUCCAAUUGGUGAUACAGUCGAGUCUCCUAUUAGACGCUGCCACCCACUUUACGCCCACCGCAAUUUCUCAGCUGUCUUGCUUCCAAUCCAGCUGAUUUUUUCAGAGCAGUUUGUGCUUAUUAGGUAUAGACUUCCAUCACAUACAAAAAAUGAACUUAAUUGGUUAGAAGACAGCCUGGAAAACGCGGUGAGCGUAAAGUGGGUGGCAGCGUCUAAUAGGAGACUCAACUGUAUCGUCAAAACAAGGGCGAUAUACCAAACAACCUCUUCAAAGACACUAUCCCUCUAAAAUCAUUUUUUCAUGCCCAAAAUAAUUUCGAUCACGAAAUUGAGCCUUCGGAAGCAGUGUGCACUCGGGAGAAGCCGAAAUAUCACCAUAGACUCUGAUACGUACAGUACCAAACAAAUACAUUCACUGGGGAUAGAAGAACCACCGCAUGAUGCAAUUCGAUGUAAACAUACCGAAAAGACACGUCAGUACAAUCCACACAAUCAGGUGCAAAAGGAAAGAAUGUUGUUUGUAUACCUGGUUGCCCUCAAAUGUUUCAAUGCUGUUUUAGAGUUUUUAUUGGCAUUUUUACGGAAAUCAUAGUACUUGUACAGUACCGUAAAUCACCACAUAUAACUACAAUACUAUACUUGUUUUUGAUGCGACAUUAACGAAAGAUUUAUGUACUCACCGAGAAAUUAACAGCUUCUUCCAUAUCCAUAUCACUUUCAAAGUAUCAUUUGCUGCACCUUUCCAAUAAUAGCACAAUUAUUUUUACACAGGUUCCCCGAAUCACUUCAAAAUAGUAAUGAUAGCCGAAUUUGAAUCGCAAUACCUGUAUCGAGUAUGAUCAAUGACUAAUGUAGGAUGCACCACAGUGUCAAGCCCUUCAAUCCAAAAUACACAAAGCGUUGUCGUAUCACGCACACCACUUCAUCAUUUUAAGCACUGUUUACAAAUCGCUGUGCUGGUAUGCAUGCAAGCACUAAACGAACCCCUCGCACAAGAUAAUGAUGCAACCUUUCACUGUGUUGGUUGUCGUCGUCGUCGUUCGUUGAUGAU